AGGACGAACGCUGGCGGCGUGCUUAACACAUGCAAGUCGAGCGACGCACCACCUUCGGGUGGUGACGGAGCGGCGAACGGGUGAGUAACACGUGGGCAACCUGCCCCUAGCUCUGGGAUAACAUCGGGAAAUCGGUGCUAAUACCGGAUAUGACCACACGCGGCAUCCCGUGUGGUGGAAAGUUUUUCGGCUAGGGAUGGGCCCGCGGCCUAUCAGCUUGUUGGUGGGGUAAUGGCCCACCAAGGCGACGACGGGUA
rnacentral:rRNA from 1 species